rnacentral:rRNA from 1 species
AUACGGAGGGGGCAAGCGUUGCUCGGAAUUACUGGGCGUAAAGGGCGCGUAGGCGGAUAAUCAAGUCAGGCGAGAAAGCCCUGGGCUUAACCCAGGAACUGCGUUUGAAACUGAUAAUCUAGAGUUCGGAAGAGGGUGGUGGAAUUCCCAGUGUAGAGGUGAAAUUCGUAGAGAUCAGGAGGAAUACCGGAGGCGAAGGCGACUUUCUGGACAAAUACUGACGCUGAGGCGCGAAAGCGUGGGGAGCAAACAGGAUUAGAAACCCCAGUAGUCC